rnacentral:rRNA from 1 species
AUUGAACGCUGGCGGCAGGCCUAACACAUGCAAGUCGAGCGGAUGAAGGGAGCUUGCUCCUGGAUUCAGUGGCGGACGGGUGAGUAAUGCCUAGGAAUCUGCCUGGUAGUGGGGGAUAACGUCCGGAAACGGGCGCUAAUACCGCAUACGUCCUGAGGGAGAAAGUGGGGGAUCUUCGGACCUCACGCUAUCAGAUGAGCCUAGGUCGGAUUAGCUAGUUGGUGGGGUAAAGGCCUACCAAGGCGACGAUCCGUAACUGGUCUGAGAGGAUGAUCAGUCACACUGGAACUGAGACACGGUCCAGACUCCUACGGGAGGCAGCAGUGGGGAAUAUUGGGCAAUGGGCGAAAGCCUGAUCCAGCCAUGCCGCGUGUGUGAAGAAGGUCUUCGGAUUGUAAAGCACUUUAAGUUGGGAGGAAGGGCAGUAAGUUAAUACCUUGCUGUUUUGACGUUACCAACAGAAUAAGCACCGGCUAACUUCGUG